rnacentral:lncRNA from 1 species
GCACAAGUUCUUGGUGGCCUCAAUUCACGGUCUCUUCCUGUUGAUCAGCAGUGGGCAGAGACCACCUCCCUCAUUGCCGCUUUGGGUUUGGACCGCUUUAAACAGUAAAGUGACUGUCGACGGCUCAGUCUACAGGGAGGAGAACAAAAGACAGGGUCAGGGCUGGGCAGACUGGACAGGGUAAGAUUCUGGCUCCCCUCACUUGCUAGUUGGAGGAGUGGGGAGGCGAGUUAUUAGUGCCUUUGGGCCCUGACCUUAUAGCCCUUCGUAGGGUGGUGUGCGAAUGUCCAGUGUCCAGUGCUGAAUGCUGAGGGACCCAGUAAGAGGAGGUGGCUAGAACUGGAGGGACAGUUUCCCAGAAGCCUGGGCUUUGGGAUAGCAGAGCAGCAUAAGCCAGGCUCUAUGGAAUGUUGGGUGAGCUGCUUGAGGAACUCCAAGGCCUGUCCCACAGUCUUCCAGCCUCCGACUCUCCGGCCCUCAGCGAGGUCAGCAGUGAGCUACUUUUGGAUCUGUUGGGAUCCCUGAGCCCGUGGUCCAGGGAGACUCUGAACAGGGAGAUCUGAAGUCCCACUGGUUUUUUUGGUUGGUUUUUUUUUUUUUUUUUAAGGUUUUUUGGUUUUUUUUUUUUUUUCUCAUUCCUGUCUUGGGAGCUUUCCCCAACCAGAGAGAGUGAUCUUUCAGCAGACUGAUCGAACACACAGGCUUCUCAGCCCACUCCCUCCAGUCAAGGUUAAGGCCUGGCAAAGGUGGAGGAAGAGAAGCUGAGGAGAAAAAGGCGAGGAGAGCCUAGGCACAGGAAGGUGACCGUGAGUAGAGUUGGGUGGUCCAGGGAUGUGGCUGGGAUCCCCUCUUCCUUCUGGAGUUCUCUUAGACAGUAAGGCUGAAGAGAAGCUUGGUACAGGAACUUCGAAGGUUUCUCAAGCGCUUCCCUCCCUCCCAGUGCUGAUUUCCUGUGGACCAGAUUCCAGCACAGUGGAGGGCCAGAGCUCAGGGAACAGACCCAGCAGCACAGCAAGUCUCCAAGGAAAGCUCUAGCAGUCUCCAGGGGCUGAAGAAC